rnacentral:lncRNA from 1 species
ACAUUCUCAAACUCUUUCUCUCUCCCUUUCCAUCUUGUCCUUCACAAUCACAACAACAACCACCGCCACCACCACCACCUGUGAGGGAAUGGCCGAGAGAGAAGAUUUUCCGGCAGGAGACAAAGAGUUCCGGCCGAGGAAGAGAGUGUUCCGACCGAGAUAAAGAGUUCCGGUGACGUUUCGCGGUGACAGAGCUUCUUUCUCCUUCUUUUCUCUGGUUCGAUCUUACUUUCUAUACUCUGUUUAUUUUCUUUUUUUUUNNNNNNNNNNNNNNNNNNNNNNNNNNNNNNNNNNNNNNNNGGUGGUUAGGGUGGAUGGUGAUGUAUCUCAAAAUUCAUCUUCUUGAUUUCAUCUUUCUCAAUUUGUGAAUAUUCAUCUCUCUAAUUGGCUUUCUGUGUUGGUUUUUUGCAGGCUCUAUAAAAGAGGUAGGUCAGUUUCAAUUUUUGGGUUCUCAAUCUUAGGUUUGGUUUAUGUUUUUUCUGUUUCUUUGCUGGUUUUUCUUCUAUUUUUCCUGUAUCAUUCUUGCUGAUUUGUUCAUCUUCUUUUCAAUUUUUCACUAUUUUCGGUUUUUCAUGCAUGAAAAGUAUAGAUCUUGAUUUUAAUUUGAUUGUACNNNNNNNNNNNNNNNNNNNNNNNNNNNAGGACUAUUAGGAGGCCAGUUUUACUGUGGAAAAUGCAGGAUGCCAAGAACUGCUAUACUUAGGUAUAGAUUUCAUAAACACUGCAUCUCUCUUUAAAUAAUCACUUGAUGUUGUUAAUUGGACAUGAUAUACUUACCUCAUUUUUUUUAGGUUUUUAGAAAGAACUGCACAAGACUUGCUUCAUGCAGCAUUUUGCAGAUAAAGGAUGGAUUUUGAUUUAGCUUGAAGGUUUUGAUCAUCUAUUAUAAGAGGUAGUUUCUCUUCUUGCAUCUUUUACAUUAUGAUCUUUUUUUUUUAUUUGCGAAUUUAAUUAGCAUUUAGCACAUGUAUUAUAUGUUCUUAAUGUUCCUGAGUUUUCAUCUAUUUGAUGUGAAUUGCAAUCAAUUAUAGUUAUAUCGAGACAAUUGAUACAUAUAGGAAUUACCUAAAACACAUAUCCAACACAUAACAAUUCUAAGAGAAAAAAGCCUAGGAUUAAAAAAAAAGGCACUAAGCAGCCAUAGACACUGAAGCUAUGCAGAUAAAUUUGGAACCCAUGUUGGUGAAUCAUAAUUGCUACUUUCAGGGGAGGGGGAUAGAUAUUUAUGGUUACUACUAUUUUAUAGGGAUGACUACAUUAUCAUGGCUACUUUUUAGGAAGUAUUGAUCAUCCAAUCCUAUAUUUUUGCUUUGUCAGAUACUAUCUGAUAAUAUCUUAAAUUCUAAUAACUUUUUGGUUGUCAAUGACUCAUUUUGCUUCAGUACUUACUACCAU